CGUAGGUAAUCUACCUUCGGAUGGGGAAUAACAACCGGAAACGGUUGCUAAUACCGCAUAAUGCAGCGGCACCUAAUGGUGACAGUUGUUAAAGCGGGGGAUCGCAAGACCUCGCGUCUGAAGAGGAGCCUGCGGCGGAUUAGCUAGUUGGUAAGGUAACGGCUUACCAAGGCGACGAUCGGUAGCCGGCCUGAGAGGGCGGUCGGCCACACUGACACUGACAUACGGGUCAG
rnacentral:rRNA from 1 species